UACGGAGGAUCCAAGCGUUAUCCGGAUUCACUGGGUUUAAAGGGUGCGUAGGCGGGUUGGUAAGUCAGUGGUGAAAUCUUCAAGCUUAACUUGGAAACUGCCGUUGAUACUAUCAAUCUUGAAUAUUGUGGAGGUAAGCGGAAUAUGUCAUGUAGCGGUGAAAUGCUUAGAUAUGACAUAGAACACCGAUAGCGAAGGCAGCUUGCUACACAGUUAUUGACGCUGAGGCACGAAAGCGUGGGGAUCAAACAGG
rnacentral:rRNA from 1 species